GAAACAUUGAGAUUUCUCUCGUUUUCAAGUAUGUCCUGGGUCCACAAAUAAUUGGUAACAAUUCACCAUAUAUGACUGUCUGUUCUGUGUUCCAUAAGGCAAGAAGUGAUAACUUUUAGCAAGCAUGUCAAACAUGUGGCCCACAAUGGUUAUCUUUGCGGCCCAGAGCUGGACUGGCUUACUGGAAUACUGGGAAAUUUCUUGGUAGGCCCUCCGCCCUGGGGCCGCUUUGUGCUGUGG